rnacentral:rRNA from 1 species
AUUGAACGCUGGCGGCAGGCUUAACACAUGCAAGUCGAGCGGGGGCUUCGGUCCUAGCGGCGAACGGGUGAGGAAUGCCUGGGAAUCUGCCUGGUAGUGGGGGAUAACGAUUCGAAAGGGUCGCUAAUACCGCAUACGUCCUACGGGAGAAAGCAGGGGACCUUCGGGCCUUGCGCUAUCAGAUGAGCCCAGGUCGGAUUAGCUAGUAGGUGAGGUAAAGGCUCACCUAGGCGACGAUCCGUAGCUGGUCUGAGAGGAUGAUCAGCCACACUGGAACUGAGACACGGUCCAGACUCCUACGGGAGGCAGCAGUGGGGAAUAUUGGACAAUGGGCGAAAGCCUGAUCCAGCCAUGCCGCGUGUGUGAAGAAGGCCUUCGGGUUGUAAAGCGACUUUAAGCGGGGGAGGAAGGGGCGUUCUGGCGUAAUAUCCAGGAGCGAUUGACGUUACCCGCAGAAUAAGCACCGGCGUAACUCUGUGUCAGCAGCCGCGGUAA